rnacentral:rRNA from 1 species
GUAGGUGGCAAGCGUUGUCCGGAAUUAUUGGGCGUAAAGCGCGCGCAGGCGGGUCCUUUAAGUCUGAUGUGAAAGCCCACGGGCUCAACCGUGGAGGGUCAUUGGAAACUGGGGGACUUGAGUACAGAAGAGGAAAGCGGAAUUCCAAGUGUAGCGGUGAAAUGCGUAGAGAUUUGGAGGAACACCAGUGGCGAAGGCGGCUUUCUGGUCUGUAACUGUCGCUGAGGCGCGAAAGCGUGGGGAGCAAACAGGAUUAGAUACCCUGGUAGUCCACGCCGUAAACGAUGAGUGCUAAGUGUUAGGGGGUUUCCGCCCCUUAGUGCUGCAGCUAACGCAUUAAGCACUCCGCCUGGGGAGUACGGCCGCAAAGGCUG